rnacentral:tRNA from 1 species
ACCGAAGUGGUUUAGCUGGCUAAGACAUUUUUCUCGGAAAGUUGAAAGGUCCUAGGUUCGAAUCCUGGCUGAGGUA